AGAUGCAAUCCCUUCCACUAUGCCUGAGAACAUGGGGUCACACUCAGCAGUCACAACAUCUAGAAAUGUAUUGAUCCUACUGUUAAUUAUCUAAAAUAGACGCUUAGUGUUGUUUGCUUGGCUGCUGGUCCUGGAGAUCCUGCUACUGCACUGAACAUGCUGGAACAAGGCUGACCCAUCCUUCUUAGAAGGAGAUACUGAGGAGACCAGGUCUGCACCACAAGAAGAUGAAAGGGCGACCCUUGAAAAUCAUGUCUGUGGAGUUUAUUUUAAACAGUUCAAACUUUUCUGGCUCUAAAACAUAGAGGUCAUAUUAAAAAUUAAAAAGUAGAAGUUCUAUUUACAUGGCAAUUCUUGCUCCUGUAUGGAACUGCAGAGGAAAGCAGUCUUGUGA
ensembl:lincRNA 1700057H21Rik RIKEN cDNA 1700057H21 gene